AUCUUGCAUUUUCCCUCAACUUGAGAUUUACACCCCAGAUUUGUUGGUUACAAUUGAGAAAGUAUCAAACGAUUGAAAAAAACAUCGCAAACAUGGCCUAGUUUCUCCCUUUAAUAAAUACAUUUUCAGGUUGAUUAUUAUGGAAUACUUUACCAGAAGACUAAUCGAGCAACGUUUCAUCAUAAUAUCAACCAGUAUUCAUCAAAAGCUAUUAGCUGCCUAGCAUUACCUUUAUCUAACCAACCUUUGAAUUUUCUCUUAUCUCAUAUCAACCAGAGUUUAUAAAUGAUACUUUUAAUCAAGCUGUUCAACUAUCUAACUUCGCAAUUAACUUACACAACUUGUUGAUUGCAACCUUCCUAUUUCCUAGAAACAUUACCGAGUUUCCUCGAGUUUUCCAGCCCCGGGCUUUUUGGUGAGUAAUUUCACUUUCGAUUCGCUGCUGACACUCUGCGAUAAGCACCAAGGCUUAAAAUGACUAAAACAAAAAAAAGAUAACAAAAAGAAACCUGAAUUCAGAGAAGCUCUGACUAUUUUUGGUGGUUCCAAGCAUGGCUUUCAUGCAGUUUCCUUAGAACUGGACUUUUAUUAUUGAUUAUUGGUCUUGUCCAUCCAUUUGCGGCCAAUUUAAUUCUGAGACUGAAAUAAGUGAUGAAGAAGUCAUGAUCACAUGUCAACUGAAGCACAUUAUAACCAGAAUAUCAACAAACCCAUCAUUUGAUUAGAGGGUAAUAAAGAGGAACAAUAAAAUGAACAAAAUAAACAACAAAUGUAAAAGCCUUGGCCAUGAUUAUUAAGCUUCACUAUUUUACCAUUAAAUUGAUGGACAAAACAUAAUCAACCCUCAAAAAGCGUAAUUAACUGGAUAAAUAAGGAGCCAAAUUGCCUCGCCAACAUUAGGGAAAGCAACAUUUACAAUGGAAAAUUAAAAUUAAAAUUGGAACAAAGUUAAAAUUUUCUGUUGGAUGAAAAAAGUGACCAGUUAAUCAUUUCUCAAAAACAACCUGGAAACGUUAAUUUCGGUCAAGGUUGAUGCUAAAAGCUUGCCUUCAACCGAUUCAAUUGUUGUUACUGUACUUUAGAUGUCUGCAAGAAUGGACGAAAACAAGUAAAUCUGAUAAGGCAACUCAUUAUCAUUGGAAUUAUCCUUUCCCAAUCGAAAACAGAUUUCUAUUCCAAUCCAAUUUCAAUCACAUGAAUUCAGGAUAAAGCUGAUGAUUUAAUCAAAUCUGUUUACAUACUAAUGUUGAACAUUUUACGGACGAGACGGAUUAUCCAGGAAAGAUCAUCUUUUUUAUCGUUUAUUUGGUUCGUUAAAUUGUUAUUGAUCAAGAGCAUGUUUGAAGGUCAAUUGCAAAAACUAAACAAAUUGCUAUUACAUGAAAGAUUAAAUAUUAAUCAAAAUAAAUUUGUCAUUUACAAUGCUAACAGUUUAGUAGAUAAAUUUGCAUUUGCACUUUUAGUUUUUGUACUUGACCAGUAUUUGAUUGGCUUUAAUAAAUCCGAAAGGAUGAGUUGAAUUUUUCAUUAACAAUUUAAAAUGAAUGAGCUGUCUAAGCUGUCUGACAUUGUAAAAUUGUAAAUUAAUGUAAUUAAAUUGUAUAUUUUAAGUAUUCUGA